AGGAUGAACGCUGGCGGCGUGCUUAACACAUGCAAGUCGAACGAUGAAGGCUGGAGCUUGCUCUGGCUGGAUUAGUGGCGAACGGGUGAGUAACACGUGAGUAACCUGCCCCAGACUCUGGGAUAAGCGCUGGAAACGGCGUCUAAUACCGGAUACGAGCUUCCACCGCAUGGUGAGGAGCUGGAAAGAAUUUCGGUCUGGGGAUGGACUCGCGGCCUAUCAGCUUGUUGGUGAGGUAAUGGCUCACCAGGCGACGACGGGUAGCCGGCCUGAGAGGGUGACCGGCACGACUGGGACUGAGACACGGCCCAGACUCACGGGAGCAGCGAGUGGGAAUAGUUAGCAACAAUGGGCGACGAAGCCUGAUGCAGCAACGCCG
rnacentral:rRNA from 1 species